rnacentral:rRNA from 1 species
UACGUAGGCAGCAAGCGUUGUUCGGAAUUACUGGGCGUAAAGAGUGUGUAGGCGGUGCUCUAAGUUCGGUGUGAAAUCUCCUGGCUCAACUGGGAGGGUGCGCCGGAAACUGGGGUGCUGGAGCGCGGGAGAGGAAAGCGGAAUUCCUGGUGUAGCGGUGAAAUGCGUAGAUAUCAGGAGGAACACCUGUGGUGUAGACGGCUCUCUGGACAGUAACUGACGCUGAGACACGAAAGCGUGGGUAGCAAACAGG